GCAUAUCAAUAAGCGGAGGAAAAGAACCCAACAGGGAUUACCUCAGUAACGGCGAGUGAAGCGGUAACAGCUCAGAUUUGAAAUCUGGCAGCAAUGUCCGAGUUGUAAUUUGUAGAGGAUGUUUCGAGCAUGGUCUGGCCUAAGUUCCUUGGAACAGGACGUCAUAGAGGGUGAGAAUCCCGUAUGCGGUCAGGUGCCUACGCUCAUGUGAAACUCCUUCGACGAGUCGAGUUGUUUGGGAAUGCAGCUCAAAAUGGGUGGUAAAUUUCAUCUAAAGCUAAAUAUUGGCCAGAGACCGAUAGCGCACAAGUAGAGUGAUCGAAAGAUGAAAAGCACUUUGGAAAGAGAGUUAAACAGUACGUGAAAUUGUUGAAAGGGAAGCGCUUGCAACCAGACUUGCACGCAGUUAAUCAUCCGCUGUUCUCAGUGGUGCACUUGAUUGCGUUCAGGCCAGCAUCGGUUUUGGUGGUGGGAUAAAGGCCUUAGGAAUGUAGCUGCUUUCGGGCAGUGUUAUAGCCUAGGGUGCAAUGCCGCCUACUGGGACCGAGGACCGCGCUUCGGCUAGGAUGCUGGCGUAAUGGUUGUAAGCGACCCGUCUUGAAACACGGACCAAGGAGUCUAACAUCUAUGCGAGUGUUUGGGUGUCAAACCCAUACGCGUAAUGAAAGUGAACGGAGGUCAGAACCCUUAAGGGUGCAUGAUCGACCGGUCCUGAAGUCUUCGGAUGGAUCUGAGUAAGAGCAUAGCUGUUGGGACCCGAAAGAUGGUGAACUAUGCCUGAAUAGGGUGAAGCCAGAGGAAACUCUGGUGGAGGCUCGCAGCGGUUCUGACGUGCAAAUCGAUCGUCAAAUUUGGGUAUAGGGGCGAAAGACUAAUCGAACCAUCUAGUAGCUGGUUCCUGCCGAAG
rnacentral:rRNA from 1 species